CCUACGGGAGGCAGCAGUGGGGAAUAUUGCACAAUGGGGGAAACCCUGAUGCAGCGACGCCGCGUGAGUGAAGAAGUAUUUCGGUAUGUAAAGCUCUAUCAGCAGGGAAGAAAAUGACGGUACCUGAUUAAGAAGCCCCGGCUAACUACGUGCCAGCAGCCGCGGUAAUACGUAGGGGGCAAGCGUUAUCCGGAUUUACUGGGUGUAAAGGGGGCGUAGACGGCAGCACAAGUCUGGAGUGAAAUGCCGGGGCUUAACCCCGGAACUGCUUUGGAAACUGUGCAGCUAGAGUGCAGGAGAGGUAAGUGGAAUUCCUAGUGUAGCGGUGAAAUGCGUAGAUAUUAGGAGGAACACCAGUGGCGAAGGCGGCUUACUGGACUGUAACUGACGUUGAGGUUCGAAAGCGUGGGGAGCAAACAGGAUUAGAUACCCUUGUAGUC
rnacentral:rRNA from 1 species